GCUGAUAUAGCUCAAAGGUAGAGUCACUGACUUGUAAUCAGAAGGUUGGGGGUUCGAUUCCCUUUAUCAGUU
rnacentral:tRNA from 2 species